ensembl:misc_RNA Metazoa_SRP Metazoan signal recognition particle RNA
GCUGGGUGCAGUGGCUCACACCUGUAAUCCCAGCACUUUGGGAGGCUGAGGCGGGUGGAUCACCUGAGGUCAGGAGUUCGAGACCAGCCUGACCAACAUGGUGAAACCCCGUCUCUA